rnacentral:rRNA from 1 species
UACAGAGGUCCCGAGCGUUGUUCGGAUUCACUGGGCGUAAAGGGUGCGUAGGUGGUGAGGUAAGUCGGAUGUGAAAUCUCCGGGCUCAACCCGGAAAUGGCAUUGGAAACUACCUUGCUGGAGGAUUUGAGGGGGAUUGGAAUACUUGGUGUAGCAGUGAAAUGCGUAGAUAUCAAGUGGAACACCAGUGGCGAAAGCGGCGCGCUGGAUCUCUUCUGACGCUGAGGCGCGAAAGCCAGGGAGCAAACGGG